GUGCCAGCAGCCGCGGUAAUACGUAGGGUGCGAGCGUUAAUCGGAAUUACUGGGCGUAAGCGUGCGCAGGCGGUUAUGUAAGACAGAUGUGAAAUCCCCGGGCUCAACCUGGGAACUGCAUUUUUAACUACCGGGCUAGAGUGCUGUAGAGGGAGGUGGAAUUCCGCGUGUAGCGGUGAAAUGCGUAGAUAUGCGGAGGAACACCGAUGGCGAAGGCAGCCUCCUGGGAUAACACUGACGCUCAUGCGCGAAAGCGUGGGGAGCAAACAGGAUUAGAUACCCUGGUAGUCCACGCCCUAAACGAUGUCAACUAGCUGUUGGGGCCUUCGGGCCCUUGGUAGCGCAGCUAACGCGUGAAGUUGACCGCCUGGGGAGUACGGUCGCAAGAUUAAAACUCAAAGGAAUUGACGG
rnacentral:rRNA from 1 species